rnacentral:lncRNA from 1 species
CAAAAAGUAUAUCUCAAGCCCUCUUUUACUCUUUAUUUUUGAGACAGGGUCUUGCUAAGUUACUAAGUUGCCCAGGAUGGUUUUGAACUUAUGAUCCUCCUGUCUCAGCCUCCCAGAGUCUGAGAUCACAGAAAUUGUCUAGUGGAAUACACUGAUGACUGCAAGAAUGAUGGAGGCUCCAUGAACCACAGUGUGACUAAGAAAACAUGAGUUGAAGCACUUUGGAGUGUGUCAAUGAGAGUGUGGAAACACACAGGGGAGUGUGUUCUGAGCGUCCAUAACCUGCACAAAUGGUGAGAUAAUACAAACAGAGGAGACAACACCUUCUGGAUCACCCAGGGACCAGGACAACUACAUCAAGAAAAGGCUUGACAACUACAUCAAGAAAAGGCUUCACAACUCUACUCACAGUAGAUGGACUUGUUCUCUGUAUGGUGUUCCAUACUGCUUCACAAAACCUAGGAAGCAUAAAUCUGCCAGAUAUCUUGUUUGAUUCCCCACAGUGUCUUCUGAUGCAUACCUCAGAAAAUCAGGGGGUGCAGUGAUGUGAGCAGGACAGAAGAAGUUGAUGGAGCAAUAAUGCAUACAGCAAGCCUUUCGUGUAUUUCAAUAAUGUUCUGUAACUCUGCCCUCUGUAGAUCUCUAUAUAAGGCUGCUCCCAUUUCAACUCAGGGCUCAGAAUUCAGAGUGGAUAAAUGCCUCUGAGCCAACCAGCAAUAAAAGUUUUCUCCAUCUCUUCUAAUAACUUUCAGAUUUUGAAUUUUCUAAUUGCUGGCGUGAUAGCACUUGAGCUGUAGUACUUGAGUUGUAACACAGAGCUAUAACACUUGGCUGUAACACUGAGCUGUUCUGUUUUGCCACACCAUCUUAUACUUCUGUCUAGUUCUGAAUUUGCCUCUGAAUCUAAGCUAGUUUGUGAUAACCACACAACCAGUGUGCCUGUAACAUAAUUUGUGUGUAACCAUAUAGUGUAAUAACCAUCCAGCCUGCAUGCCAAAAAACUCUUGUGAACCCAUUUGAUAAACAUAAAAAUUUGUUUUCCUCGGGCAGAGAAGCUCAGCUGAUCCCAGCACCCGGAAGGAAGCUCCCUGCCUCCAUCCCAGGCUCCUAGGGCAGAGAAGGUGAGCUGGUCCCAGCACCCGGAAGGAAGCUCCUUGCCUCCAUCCCAGGCUCCUAGGGCAGAGAAGCUCAGCUGGUCCCAGCACCUGGAAGGAAGCUCCCCCACCGCCAUCUCAAGCUCCUAGGGCAGAGAAGGUGAGUUGCGUGGGCGCCAGAAGCACACCCCACACCCCCGCCGUGGAAAUGAGAAGACACAUAAACAAACCUCAAAAACAGACUUCCAGAUCACCUACAGCAACCCCAAAGGGAAACAAGAUGGAACAAUCUGAUACUCAACCACCUGGACUCUCUGAACUGGCAACAACAGAGGAUCUGGGAAAAAUGAAAUCAGAAAUAAUUACUCAGAUAACAGCAAAGAUUUUGCUCGUGGUGCAAGCCAUGAGUAAUAAAUCUAGAGAGGACACAGAUAAAAAAACAGAGGAUCUGAGGAACAUGAUGGAAUCCCAACAUAGGAAACAAAUGGAAUCCAUAAAACAGAUACAAACAGAUUUCCAAGAGAUUAAAAACUCCAUCAAAAGUCUACGCAGCAGAAUGAACCAAUGUGAGGAUAGAAUUUCACAUAUAGAAGAUAAGAUUGCAAUUAGCAACCAGGAAAAGAAAAAUUGCUUCAAAAUUGUAAAGGAACACAAGAAAUCAAUCCAGCAGCUGCUAGAUGAUGCAAAGAAGAAUAAUAUAAGACUGACUGGAGUCAAUGAAGAAAGAGGAGACAGUGCAGAUGACAUAAAAAAACUGUUCACAGAAGUGAUGGCAGAAAACUUCCUAAGGAGGGGGAAAGAACUUGACAUACAGAUAAGUGAGGCAUAUAGUACUCCAGCUAGCCUUAAUCAAAAAAACAAUCUACACAUAGGCAUAUAAUAGUUAGGAUUCCAGAAAUCCAACAGAAGAACAAAAUUCUACAAGCAGUGAGAGAAAAGAAACAAAUCACAUACAAAGGAAAGCCCAUCAGAAUCACAGCAGACUUCUCAAUGCAAACCCUCAAGGCAAGAAGAGCUUGGAGUGAUGUAUUUCAAGCCCUAAAGGAAAACAGCCUCCAACCCAGAGUGAUGUACCCUGCAAAACUAUCUUUCAAAAUUGAUGGAGAAAUAAGAUACUUUCAUGAUAAAGAGCACCUCAGGAACUUCAUGAAUACCAAACCGGCACUCCAAAAAAUUUUAGACAAUACCCUAGGAAAAGACAAUGAGGAUCACAACCCCAGGAAACCCAGCAGAAUGAAUCCACUGGGCAUGACAAAUUAAACACAAAGUGGGAGAAUCCAACAAAAAGAAAAAGUCAUGACAAGGCUUUUAAAACUUUUAACUUCAUCUCCCUAAUAAGUGUAUAAUUCAAUCUUGUUAUUGUACUGAUUAGUAUUUUUCUGAUUCUAGAGUUGCACACCAUUCCUUGUGCUAUACUGGCUAUUUAUCAUCUUCUUAUGUCUACAUUUUAAUUGGGUUGUCUAUUAAUGAGCUCUAAGAAUUCUUUAUAUAUUCUGGUCAUAGGUUAUAUCUAUUGUAAAUGUGGU